UACGUAGGGUGCGAGCGUUGUCCGGAUUUAUUGGGCGUAAAGAGCUCGUAGGCGGUUUGUUGCGUCGGCUGUGAAAUCCCGAGGCUCAACCUCGGGUCUGCAGUCGAUACGAGCAAACUAGAGUGUUGCAGGGGAGACUGGAAUUCCUGGUGUAGCGGUGAAAUGCGCAGAUAUCAGGAGGAACACCGGUGGCGAAGGCGGAUCUCUGGGCCUUACCUGACGCUGAGGCGCGAAAGCUAGGGGAGCGAACAGG
rnacentral:rRNA from 1 species